rnacentral:misc_RNA from 1 species
GGUCCGUUAUCCACAUCAAAACUUAUAUCAAAUGAAAUCCCACUUUGUCUUUCUAUGAAUUUGACAAUUGGCACACGAGCCUUUGCAAUCACCUGUAUCUUCUUUGCGAUACCCUUCUGAGACAAUGCCCUUGAAAGUGCCUGCAAACCAAUUUGAGGGUAUUUUAUACCCGACCCCAGAAUCACAACAUCUAUAUCACUUGUUGGAAGAUAAAGUCCUGUCUUGUACGAACCAAAAACUUCUACCUUGCAAUUGG